UACGUAGGGGGGCAAGCGUUGUCCGGAAUCAUUGGGCGUAAAGAGCGCGUAGGCGGCCCUGUAAGUCCGCUGUGAAAGUCAAAGGGCUCAACCCUUGAAUGCCGGUGGAUACUGCAGGGCUAGAGUCCGGAAGAGGCCGAGUGGAAUUCCUGGUGUAGCGGUGAAAUGCGCCAGAUAUCAGGAGGAACACCGAUGGCGAAGGC
rnacentral:rRNA from 1 species